AGAUUGAAUGCUGGCGGCAGGCCUAACACAUGCAAGUCGAGCGGCAGCACGGGUACUUGUACCUGGUGGCGAGCGGCGGACGGGUGAGUAAUGCCUAGGAAUCUGCCUGGUAGUGGGGGAUAACGCUCGGAAACGGACGCUAAUACCGCAUACGUCCGUACGGGAGAAAGCAGGGGACCUUCGGGCCUUGCGCUAUCAGAUGAGCCUAGGUCGGAUUAGCUAGUUGGUGGGUAAUGGCUCACCAAGGCGACGAUCCGUAACUGGUCUGAGAGGAUGAUCAGUCACACUGGAACUGAGACGACGGUCCAGACUCCGUAGGGAGCAGCAGGUGGGAAUAGUUGGAC
rnacentral:rRNA from 1 species